UUUACAGGUUUUUCGCAAGUUGAUGAAACGUAUGUACUACAAUCAUUAUAUAAGAUGUUAACGGACUAUGAAUUGGAUAGAUCACAUUCUGGAGGGGUUCCUGGAAAGACUAUAGUGUACUUUAAUUAUGCUAAAACAUUAAAACAAGAUCGUAAUUUUCAAAAUGCUUAUUGGGAACUGAAAAA